AAUAGUGUUUUUAAAAACAAAAAAUAAACUAAAAAGGUUUUCUGUAAUGGUUUGUUCUCCUGUCUUUAAGGGGUUUGCUUCAAAUUAUUGGUCAGGAAAAUCGCUUAAUCCGGAGACAGGGAGAGAGAGAGAGAGAGAGAGAGACAAAACGAGUCCUCAUCCACUCACAGUGCAGCAGAUAAACCUGUGCUGUGUUCACGGCCUCAUCAUCCUCAUCAUCAUCAUCAUCAUCAUAGAGCUCCAACCUUUUAAAGAGACGCGCCGGUCUCAGAGGAGGCCGUGAACGCAGCAGAGCAGGAGCCCUGGAUUAUUUGUCUUCUUCUUCUUUCUUUUUUAUCAUUUCAUUUUUUUAAACUGGACAAAUCCUCAGCGGUAUGUGAUGAAGGAGAUAAAAUAUGUACAUUUAAUCCAGAGUUAAUACUUUAAAAAAAAAAAGAUUUUGUUUUUGUCUUCAUGCGCUGCUGCUCCAGUUUUGUGUGUCUGCGCCUUUAAAAAGGUGCACAGAGAGGUGCGCCUCUGUCCCUGCCAGGUAAAAAAAAAAAAAAAAAGGGGAGGAGGUUGAGAUUGGAGAGAGAGGGAGAGGAGAAGAGAGGAGAAGAGAGGAGAGGAGCGCAGAGCUCAAAUUGACAUUUGAUACUCAGGAAGUUGAGGACGCCGCUUGGAUUUCUUUUGUUUCAUUGUAAAUGUGCAGAGCUUCUGCCGCUGCAGGCGAACAGCGACCGGAGCUGCGAGUUCCUCCCUCAGCACUUUAAUCAUGGAACAGCCUUUUCUUUUCUUUUCUUUUCUUUCUUUCUUUCUUUUCUUUUUUUUUAAAAAAUGUAGCAUUGAUAGGUUUUAAAAUGUCCGGCGCGGCUCUGACUUUUCUGUGCAGUUUUCAAGCUUCACGCAUGACGCGCAGCGAUGGAGCCGGAGGAAGUUUGCCUGCAGGCCGCCGACCUCGCCGCUGGAGCUCCGCUGAAGGCCCUUUUUUUGCUUUUGUGCCACUCGGCCGACUCAAAACACGAGGAGAAAACAGGAGACGGGGAUGCCAUCAAUAGUGAGAGGAGGUAGUUCUGAGGCCAGCUCUCCACCUGGAGGAGCAUGUUCAGCCAGAGCGUUCUCCAAAUCCUCCAACAUCAUGCUCUUAUACUUCCUUACCUGGAGGGUAGACAGUCAUUGAACGCAACACCAGAUUCCAGUAGCCACGCCCCUUUAUGGUGACACUUCGCUGCUGCUCCAGCUGCUGCUGUUUGAUACCUGAGGAUUCUGCAAAGUGUGAUGCGAACGUGACUACGAAGAAAAACGAAGACCAGAACAAGCGUCUCAAGUUUCUUCAAUUAGCUGCACCUGUGUAACUCGGGCACAACGUUAAUUGUACUGAGGUGUAAAGUACACAGGCUGUGGUGCACACCUGCUGGUGAUCUGAUUAGAUGACAGCUUCCAUGUGAAAGAGUAAUAAGAUCACUGCACUGAAACUGGAGCCCAAGCUUGAAUCCUGGCCACCACUGAGACACCAACGUAUCUAUGUAUGUCCUUUA